rnacentral:lncRNA from 1 species
GGUGCCAUGUUACGGGUGUCCAGUGUUACUAACCUUUGGAAUAACGAAGUACAAGCCCUCCAGAGAUGGAGUCAUACAUAUAUAUAGAGAGCCCCCUGGCUAUAUAUAGAUAGAGCCGGCUAUAUAUAGAGCGGCUAUAUAUAGAUAGAGCCUAUAGAUAGGCCUAUUGACUAGAUCUGCAUCAUAUACUUAACACCCCCCUUCAAACUCAAGGUGGAAUUGGAGGAUCUGAAGCAUUGAGUUUGAUCAAGUGAAGCCGAUGUUGCUCUUGAGUUUGUGCUUUAGUGAAGAAAUCAGCCAGCUGCAGCUCAGAAGGCACAUAUCGAAGAGCAAUGGUCUUCUGAUGACAAUGAGACCGAGUAAAGAAGGCAUCAACACCAAUAUGUUUAGUUAGUUCAUGCUUCACAGGAUCAUUGGCAAUUUGUAUAGCUGCAGUACUGUCACAAAGAAGAGGUGUGGCAGCAUCACAAGAAACCCUAAAAUCAGCCAACAACCAUCGAAGCCAGACAAUCUCUGCAGUAGUAGUGGCAAGGGCUCAAAGUUCUGCCUCUGCACUAGAGCGAGAUACAGCAGUCUGCUUCUUGGACUUCCAUGCAAUAGGUGAGGAACCAAGAAGAAUACAAUAACCGGUGAUGGAACAACGAUCUGUUGGAUCACUCGCCCAAGUGGAGUUCGAGUAAGCAUAGAGCUGAAGCGGACUAUUACGAGCAUAGAAUAAACAUCGAGAUGCUGUCCCCCUUAAGUACCGUAGUACACGCAGUAAAUGUCCAAAAUGAACAGAAGUAGGAGCACUCACAAACUGGCUCAAAAUAUGAACUGCAUGAGCAAUAUCUGGUCUGGUAACAGUGAGAUAAACAAGACUACCCACAAGAUGUCUAUAUCUAGAGGGGUCCGGAAGAGGUAUACCAUCAGUAGGACGAAGCUGCAGGUGAAGAUCCAUGGGUGUGGCAGUCGUUCGAUUGUCAGUGAGACCAGAACGAGCAAUAAGAUCUUGGAUGUACUUGCUCUGAGAAAUAUAGUAUCCACUGGCACAUUGCUUAACCUCAAUGCCUAAAAAAUAGCUGAGAGGACCUAAAUCAGACAUUUGAAAGUGUUCACCAAGCUUCUGUUUGACAAGAGAAAUAUAUUCCACAUCAUCACCCGUAAGCAAUAUAUCAUCAACAUAUAAAAGAAGCAAGGUACGACCACGUGAUGAGAGAUGAAUAAACAGAGCAGGGUCAUGAUCACUAGGUGUGAAACCAGCAGCCUUUAACACUGAUACAAAACGUUCAAACCAAGCACGAGGGGCUUGUUUAAGACCAUAUAAAGCACGACGAAGUUGGCAAACAUAACCUGGAGGGGCAUUAACAACUGGAGGUGGUUGCAUAUAAACUUCCUCAUUCAAAUCACCAUGAAGAAAAGCAUUCUUAACAUCCAUUUGAGAAAUGACCCAAGAAGAUGAUGCAGCCACUGCAAGUAAAGUACGAACUGUGGUCAUGUGAGCAACAGGGGCAAAUGUCUCUUCAUAAUCAAGACCCGCAAUUUGCUGAAACCCCCGUGCUACAAGACGUGCUUUAUAUCUUUCAACAGAACCAUCUGACUUGGUUUUAAUCUUGAAAACCCACUUACUGGUGAUUGGUACAGCAUGUGAAGGCAAUGGCACAAGUUCCCAAGUACCUUGAAGAUCAAGAGCAGCAAGCUCCUCAGACAUAGCAAGCUGCCACUCUGGAAUACUAGAAGCUUCCUGAAAAGUGGAUGGUUCCUGAACAACAGCACUCGCACGUUGAAAGCCCAACUUAUCAGGAGGAUGAAUAGUAGCACGAUUCCGUAGAUUAUAUGGUGGUGCAACCUGUGUCUCAUCAGAAAUAGCACAGGACUCAUCAUUGUUAGUAAAAUCAUCGUGGCUGGGAGUAUCAGGACUGGCCGAGGAAGUAGUUAUAGGAAUAGGCUGUUUAGGACGACGAGUGUAGGUCUUUGUAAUUGGUGGACGACGUGGUGGAGAUGCAAGAGGAUUGGGUGGCUGAUUAUCAAUAGGUGGUGGAGGUGGUUGAUUAUUUUGAGGAGGUGGCUGAUUGUCAAGGGUCUCAAAAGAUGAAUGAAUAUGGAUAAGAGGGCUGGAAGGUGACUCAUUGUGGGGUGGCAUCAUCACUCACUGAAAUAGGAGGAAGAUACAGAAAAGAGGUGGACUCAGUGGGAGCAUAUGAUGACUUUGUACAGGUGUUAUAAAAGAAAGGACGGUCCUCAACAAAGGUGACAUCACGGGAGAUACGUAUGCGGCGAGAAGAAGGAUCAUAGCAACGAUAACCCUUAUGCUCAGGACUAUAUCCAAGGAAAACACACUCAACCGAUUGAGCAGUCAACUUUGUUCGUUCACGAGGGGCAAGUAAAACAUAGCAUAGACAUCCAAAGACUCGAAGAUGAUCAUAGCGAGGAGGAGUCCCGAAAAGAACUUCACCAGGACUCUUGCCAGACAAUUUGGACGAUGGUUGUCUAUUAAUAAGAUACACAGACGUGGAAAGAGCCUCUCCCCAAAAGUGUGAAGGAACAAAAGAAGCAAUUAAAAGUGUGCGAGCUGUUUCUAUCAAAUGGCGAUGUUUGCGUUCAGCAAACCCAUUCUGAGCAUGAGCACCAGGACAUGAGAACUGAGCAAGAGUACCCUCAGAGUCUAGAAACUGGCGAAAGGCAGCGGAUAAAUACUCCCCACCAGAAUCAGAACGAAAAACUCGAAUUGGGGUAGAAAAUUGAGUGUGUACCAUGCGAGCAAAGGUUUGGUAAAUAUUGCAUAAUUGGGACCGAUGUUUCAUGAAGUAAAUCCAAGUAUAACGAGAAUGAUCAUCAAUGAAAAUAACAUAAUAUUUAUGACCACCCUUUGUAGCAAAAGGUGCAGGACCCCAUACAUCGGAAUGAACAAGAUCAAAAGGUUUGGAAGCAUGGGAAUCACUAAUAGAAUAGGGGAGUUGUAUCUGUUUCCCAAGCUUACAACCUUUACAAUGAUAACUAGACUCGAUAGAAGUGGGACCUAAACAACCUUUAUUUAUUAAACUAGACAAACGAGACCCACAUAAAUGACCAAGACGAUGAUGCCACUUGGCAAAGGACGAGGGAGAUGGUGAUGGUGAUGAGGCGGCUGAUGACACAUGAGCGGAAAUGUGAGGGAGACGCAAGGUGUCAAGAACGUAGAGGCUAGGUGAACCGCUACGGCGAUGGCCAGUCCCAAGUACAGUCCCGGUUCGACGAUCCUGUAUAAAGCAAGUUGAGUCAUCAAAUCCAACAAAACAAUUAUGGUCAGCAAGUUGACCAACAGAGAGGAGGUUCAUAGACAACUUAGGUACAAAGGAGACAUCAGGAACAGAGAAAUAUGAAUUUGAAACAGAACCAUGAUGAGUGAUAGGACAACUUGUACCAUCUGCUGUCUGAACAGAAACACCAUCAACAACUGGUUUGCAGGCCACAAGCUGAGACUGAUUCGACGUCACAUGAAAAGAAGCCCCGGAAUCAAGCACCCAAGACGAAGAUGAAGAACCAGCAGCAGCAGCAACUGAUAGAGAUCCUAAACCACCAGCAGCAGCAACUGACACAGAUCCUUUAGGAGUAGAUCCUGUACCACGACCCCUAGUGGUUCGAGCAGCGCGACGAGCACGAAAUUCAGCCAAUUUCUCUGGAUGGUGCACAAAACAAUUAUCUGGAGUAUGACCAGUUCUACCACAAUGCGGACAAGGCUCCUGCGAGGCACCCUUUGGUGUACUGAACUUCUGAGAAGCAGCCAGCACAUUAUGAGACACAUGUGUGGAAGAAGUCAGAGACCGGAGACGUGUCUCUUCAGCAAGCAAUUCUGACAGUGCCUUUGCCAUUGUUAGAGCAGAAGAAUCAUGAAGCAACCGAGUACGGAUGGAAUCAAAUUCCGCUCUUACACCCAUGACAAAACGAUAAGUAAGAAACUUUUCAAUAAACUUGUGGGCUGGACAAUCCUCAGCUGUACAGUCAGGCACCAUAGAGGUCAAGGAUCCCAUCAGACGCCCAAAAGCUGAGUAGCACUCAUCAACAGACAUGUCUUGCUGCUCAAUACUAUGAGUUUGCUGCAUAAGAGUGUGCAAGAGAGCACCACUGUCCUGGACAUAGCGUGCCUUCAAGGAGGACCAGAUAGCAUUGGCUGUUUUACACUUGGAUAGACUCAUAAUCAUAGAUUGCUUAGUACUGUUGAUCAUGGCAGCCAUCACCUUGCCAUCAUUCUUUUGCCAAGUUUUGACAUCAGUAGCAUUACUCCGAUCCUGCUGAAGCUUAGGAGGAUCAUCAGCUAGAUGAUCAAGGAGCUCAUGACCCCUUAAAGCAGUUUCCACACAAAAAGCCCACUCUGGGUAAUUCUGACCAUCAAGGGUAAUGUUGAUAACAAUAGUGUUGAGCUGCGAUGACAUGACUGAAGAGUUGUAGCAAACAAACAAGGGGAAGAAAAAUUGUUACCACCGUGACUGGAAAUAGCCUGAGAUGGUCUCUGCAGAAACAGAGGAAGAAAACUCCAAAUCUCCACUGGUAGAGAAGAUGACCACGUGCAGCGUGCAGGGAUGAAGAGCCACGGGCGGAAGAGGACAGGGCACGCAGGAAGACGACUCCUGCGGGCGCUCCAAAUCUCCACGGGCAGGGCACGCGCAGGGCACGCGGGAAGACGACACCCGCGGGCGGACGACGACCCCACGCGCAAUGCGUCCCCACGAGAGCGGACAGCUCCGCGACGACGAGUCGCGAAGGCGCGAAGGUGGAGACGAGACGCGAAGGCGCGAAGGUGAAGACACGGUGGUGAUGUGCCGACCCCCGUGAAAACAGAGGAAACGCGAUGGGCGGCAGACGGCGGCACACGCGAUGGGCUUGCGACGACCGGAAAAAAAAUGGAUCUUGGGGGUGAUUAGGGAUCAGAUUAGCCCUAAUUCGACCCCUAAACCAUGCUUUGGUACCAUGUUACUAACCUUUGGAAUAACGAAGUACAAGCCCUCCAGAGAUGGAGUCAUACAUAUAUAUAGAGAGCCCCCUGGCUAUAUAUAGAUAGAGCCGGCUAUAUAUAGAGCAGCUAUAUAUAGAUAGAGCCUAUAGAUAGGCCUAUUGACUAGAUCUGCAUCAUAUACUUAACAUCCAGC